rnacentral:lncRNA from 1 species
UGAGCACUGAGCACCUGCGGUCUUGUGAGCACUGUGCACCUGCGGUCUUGUGAGCACUGUGCACCUGCGCUCCUGUCUGGCCUCGUUCUCUCUUGAACUGAGAAUUCGCCAGCAUGGCGAGGAGACCGCCUCCUGCCGUGGGCCCCGCGGGCGCCCAUGGAAGGUCCGCAGCCUCCUGUGUCCCUUCCUGUGUGCACGGGGGGAGGCAGGGUUAGAUGUGAGUCGUCUGUAAGCACUGGAGAGGACCUCCAGUUGUCGGCACCCUUCAGAAUAUGCACUGUGUGUAUAUUCCUUCUAAAUCUAUUUGUUUUAUGUUGCGGGUGUAUCUGCACCCCACCUGUGUGCCUGCUGCUCAUGGAGGCCACAGAAGCCAUCGGUCUGGAACUAGAGUCACAGGCAGUUGUAAGCCAACACGUGCUGGACAUCUGCUGGCGUCACAACAGCAGCCGGUGCUGCUUUUAGCUGCUGAGCCAUCUCUGAUGGGGACGGUGCUUCUGUGUAUGUUCAUCUUACUGAUUGUUGACUAAAGUACUGUUGGCCAAUGAGGCAGCAAGUUAGGUGGAACUAGGAGUCAAGCAGGAUUCUGGGAAAUGUAGUAGAGAAGUGGUGAUCCAGGCAGGAAGUGACAUGGCAGGGAGACUCCUAUAUAAACAAGGGCAAGAAGGAGGUGGGCCCCUUCGCUCUUCCUCCAGAGUCACCAUGUGAGCCCGAGAUAAGGACGCCAAUGGAAGGCAUCAGAUAAGCCUUAUAAAAUAUAUGGAUUUAUGAUAAUUAAGACUGAGCUAACAGAUGAGAAUCCUAGUAAUUGGCCAAGCAACCUUUGUACCUAAUAGAAGUCUCUGUGUGUUACCUGGGGCCCUAACACAGCGAGCAGAACUCAGGCAGGUGAAACCAGCCCGUGUAAUAUAUUAUGUCAACUACACACGCUCAAGGGGAAUCUUCUCACCUCUGUUAGGCUAGAAAGUCCCUCAGACUUGCUCAGAAGUUCAUCUCCAAGGAUGGAUAGCAGGAAGAAAGAGAGAGAGAGGAAGAAGAGACGGAUGGAGGGGGGAGAGAGGAAGAGAGAAUGAAUGACAAUCUGGGGAAGAGAACGGCCUUUGGAGUUGUGCCCCAAGCGACCUGCUUGGUUACUUGCCAGUGGACUAGCGCAUGUAUGAAAAGAUUACCCUUAGGAGCCACGUAACUCUCUGUGGUUCAACCAUGCAGGAGCCAAGUCUUCAACACGUGAUGGGCUUCUGUGGGGACACUUAAACGAAAACCACAAACCACCACAAGACCAAGGGACGAAAGUGCAGCUGAGAUGGCUCAGCUGAUGAGUGCAUUGCGGCCAGGCCUGAUUAUGUGAGUUUGAUCUUGGGGUCCCACGUGGUAGAAGGAAAGAACCGACUCCUGCAAGUUGUCCUCUGACCUCCAAACAUGUUCUCUUGAAAGACCCCCGAAGAGGUACUUUCGUAGAAGGAGACCCGUACCCAGGAAUCAGCGAGACCACGAACUUGGAUGCAAACUGCAAGAGGUUUUAUUAGAGACGCGGGUACCUGGGGCGACUUAGCUUCUGUGUGGCUAAGCGCGCUGAGCCAAGGGAAAGGGGUCCUUAUAUAGGGAAAAAGGCGCAAGCUAGAAGCAGGGAUUCUAUUGGAUAAUUCUAAUGAGGCAUUGUACAGAGCUAUUCCCAUUGGUCAAUGUAAAUGAGGCGCUAUACAGGGUUAUUCAAAUGAGGCGCAGUACAGAGUUAUUCAAAUGAGGUGAAACACAGAGUCUUUCAAAUGAGGUAAAGUACAGAAUCAUUUCUAUUGGAUGGUUCAAAUGAGACACAGAGCCAUUCCAGAUCAGCAUAUUCUCAAGGUCUGGUGUCUGGUACAACAGACUCAAUUCCCUCCGCGUCCGGACAGCUGACCUUGGGACGGAGGGUGGGGGUGUGGGAGCGGGGCUCCAGGCCGGCCUAACUGGUGCUCUCGCCCUCGGGCCAACGCACCUGGUGCUCGCCCUCGGGCCGGCCCACCUGGUGCUCGUUGCUCGAGGCGCGGUGCCAGGCGGGGCGGGCCGGGGGCGCGAGCCCUGUUGGGGUGUAGGCUUGGGAGGCCCUGGCAGCUCCGCGGCCCUCGUGUCCUUGGCCUUGGAGGCGGCUCCCCGCUCGCAGCUCCUAGACAAGCAGCACCGCUGCUCUCCCAGCUCAAGUUCCCCUUCCAGGCGCCGCCCGCGCUGCACUCUCCAGCCCCUGGCCGAACCCUGGCCCUGCCCUGCUCAGUCGCCGCGCUGCCCUCGGUCAACUGCUCCUCCCGCCUGCUCCAGAGAGAACACCCAGCACCGGCACAGGCGGGGAAGACAGAGGGGCAGGGGGCAUGCAGAAGUAUUCCGAGCGGGUCUUUCACUCUGUGGCGUCAUCACACCCCACCAUAUACAUGGCAUACUCGAAAUAAUAAAGCAGACAGUAUCUGAGUGUUGAGCCAAAUGAAUACCCUGAGAAACCCCCUCGUCAGUCAACACAGUGCUGUGCAGAUCUCAUCUGACAACACCCAGCCCCAAGAAGCCCGCCAGGGUUGGAGUUGCUGAGCACAGUUCUGUUCGGUCCGUGCAAUAUGAAAACACUGGGUGUUGUUUCAAAGCAAAGUCUGUGGGGUGGGAUACCCCUCUGCUCUGGGAAGAAUGAUAUUGGGUGGACGUGAGCUGCUGUGCAGAUGACCCUCGGGUGACAGGACUCAGACACAGAGAUUGGCAUUGUGACGCUUGGGGUUAGGACAACACUGUUGGGAGCUGGCAGAGCAUUUAGACAUGGGGAAUUCCAAUCUGCCUGCUUUAAUGACUUGACGUUAGGAUCACUGAGAACAUGACUUGCAAGGGCCCUGAGACUGGCCCCUUCCUCUUUGUCUUUCACAACCUAGCCCGUGAUAAGUCAAGCAGUAUUUAUUUAUUUGUUUGUUUAUUUAUUAUGUACACAGUGUUCUACCUGCAUGCAUUUGGGCACCAGGUCUCAUUACAGAUGGUUGUGAGCCACCAUGUGGUUGCUGGGAAUUGAGCUCAGGACCUCUGGAAGAGUAGCCAGUGCUCUUAACCUCUGAGCCAUCUCUCCAGCAGUUUGGCUGUGGCCUCAUUACAGGCCCAAAAGGCCCAAGGAGAAUCAGCUGUGGAUAGGGGCCUCUGGAACUAGGAGACAAAGUGGACUUUUUCUACUUGCAAGUUAAUUAUUUCAGGCAUUUUGUCACAAGCGUGGAUAAUUCUGUUUAUAUGAAAUACCUAGUGAAGGCAAAACCAUGAAGCACAUUAGUGGAUAUUGAGGCAGGAGUAACUGCAGGAGACCAAGAGAAGCAAACGUAGCGUUUUAGAUGUUGGAAAACAGAGUUGGGGUGGCUCUAAGUGUAUCAGUUUACUAAAACUCACCAAGUUGUGUGCUGUGAUUGCUGACGUUUGGGGUAUGCAAAUUAUGCCUAAAGUGGAGCUGGGUGGUUUUGUUUUGUUUUUAAUUAAAAGAUUCUUUGAGGAUCAACCUGUAACUGCUCAAUGUGAGAGUCACAGAAGCCAUCAUGCCUUUCAAGGGCGGGAGACGAUACAAUUAUGUCAAGCCAGACUUGGAAACCUUCAAAAACUAGAAUAUGCAAUUUCUAAACAUAAUUCUUAUGUUAGCUCACAAUACCAAUGCUGGGCCAAGAAUAUUAGCAUGUUAAAUUUAGGGCGACAAAUGGAGCACUUUCCUCCUUUGGAGGGAUGGUGAUGGGCCUGGGGGCCAGCAGGAGCUCUCUGAGCUUUUCUGGACUGGGCAGCUGUUUAGGGCAGAUCCUGGCAUGAGGAAAGGUAUUCAGGGUGUAGACUUAAAUACCUUCCCUAACAACUGUGGCAUUGCUGAGGGUACACCACCGUCACCACAGAAAUGCCGGCAAACUAUAAUAGGAAAAUCCAUCUUCAGAGGCAAAAGAAUGAAUGGAGCAUUCUAGAACUGGCAUUUCUGUCCCUGGCGAUUGGUUCUAUACUGUGCGCAUCAGAUUCUCCUGAUUUGUUAGAUAGGUUACUAGGCUGGGUCCAUGGAGCUGUGACCCUGAAUUUCUGGGAAAGAGUCUGAAUCCUAUCAAGCCCUGUAGGGGUGAAACUGACACCCCACAAGGGAGCACAGGCUGCAGAUGAGAGUAGCUGAUGGCGGCUCUGCUGUUUCAGUCUUGGGGAGAAGUUGGAUUUGCUUCAUAGCCUGGUCUCACACACGCACGCAUGCACGCACGCACCUCUUCCUCCUGAUUGAUUGACCCACCUGUGGUGACUUAUUACCGUGUCUGAAGAGUUUAAUUCAGGCACUAAACAUUUGCCUGCUAAUUUUAAGGUCGUUCUUACAUAGGGCCUGUAGAGGAGACUGAAGGGCUCCCUGGUUGAAACCCCUGCUGAGGUGGGGAAGAAAGCCUGAUUUGGCCAAGUUUGGCAAUCCAAUCCUGUUCAGAACCCUGAUAAACUCACCUGAUGUCACGUGGGAGAGCAGGAACGCUGUCCUUUCUGUGACACCCUGUUUUUCACUCUGCUUUUUAUACCAUCGCCCAGAGGUAGCUAGUGGUGACCAAUAACUUUUUCUAAGACCUUUGAAUGAGAAAUGUCCCCCAGGGGCCGAGUGUUUGGAUGC